UCACACUGCCCUGAGAAAGAAAGGAGAAACCAACGGAUACACGGAGUCAUGCUGCUAUCCCAACAGUCUUAAAUCAGGGAAACGGCAGUGCCGAAAAUGACAUGUUCCAGGGUCAUCAACAGGAAUUUUCCUCGUAAGACUUUUUUUUUGAAAAACAACUUUUUAAAAAGUUCUAGCGUACUUUCGAACUUGCAAACACGAGGGUCCGUCCGUCCCCGCCGCUUUGGGGAGGACGUACGUGACGAUCAACAGUGUAUCUUGUGCAUGGGAACUGACAGCUGGCACCCCCCAACCAGCGCUGCGGUUCGAAGCUAAGCUUCAGGGGACCGGGAACGUGACGCCGCUGGAGAAGAACGGAGCAUCUCGCCGAGGCGGGAAGAGUCACGGCCGUAAACGCUCUCUUCCGGGUCAACGGAGCAAGUUGGCAAAGCAAGAGGAGGAGCUGGCCAGGCCCUAAAUGAGCCGGGACGAGCCAGCCCCACCCGGCAAGUCGUUUUACGGUUCUCCACGCACAAAAACGAUCAGAGAGAGAGAAUGAUUUCCACUGCCCUCUCUUCAUAAGGUAAAGGUCCCUACUAACCCAGCCCAGCUCUUUAAAAACCCGUUCCAUUUUAGCGAAACUGCCCUCUUGGACUGCCUCCCAGUGAUGUACUUAGAAAGUGGGCGGAGUGUUCAACACCUAGUGUGCUGGGUGAGGGGGGUGGGGAUUCAUGGUUUUUGUAUACUUUUUACAGGUAGCAACAGUUAAAUAGUUGAUUACCCUGUUGGUUUCAAUAUCUAUGAAAGCUAUCAGACAAAAAUAAACUUUAACUUUACCAGAA